GCCAGUGUGGUACAGUGGUUUGCACACUGGACUAGGACUCUGGAGACCAGGGUUUGAAUCCCAGCUCUGCCA